GAUGAACGCUGGCGGCGUGCCUAAUACAUGCAAGUCGAGCGAACAGACGAGGAGCUUGCUCCUCUGACGUUAGCGGCGGACGGGUGGGUAACACGUGGAUAACCUACCUAUAAGACUGGGAUAACUUCGGGAAACCGGAGCUAAUACCGGAUAAUAUAUUGAACCGCAUGGUUCAAUAGUGAAAGACGGUUUUGCUGUCACUUAUAGAUGGAUCCGCGCCGCAUUAGCUAGUUGGUAAGGUAACGGCUUACCAAGGCAACGAUGCGUAGCCGACCUGAGAGGGUGAUCGGCCACCCUGGAACUGAGACACGGUCCAGACGCCUACGGGAGGCAGCAGUAGGGAAUCUUCCGCAAUGGGCGAAAGCCUGACGGAGCAACGCCGCGUGAGUGAUGAAGGUCUUCGGAUCGUAAAACUCUGUUAUUAGGGAAGAACAAAUGUGUAAGUAACUAUGCACGUCUUGACGGUACCUAAUCAGAAAGCCACGGCUAACUACGUG
rnacentral:rRNA from 1 species